rnacentral:tRNA from 1 species
GUCAGGGUAGCUCAGUCGGUUAGAGCACGGGAUUCAUAACCCCGAGGUGGAGGGUUCGAUUCCCUCCCCUGACA